rnacentral:rRNA from 1 species
UACGUAGGGUGCGAGCGUUGUCCGGAAUUACUGGGCGUAAAGAGCUCGUAGGUGGUUUGUCGCGUUGUUCGUGAAAACUCACAGCUUAACUGUGGGCGUGCGGGUGGUACGGGCAGACUGGAGUACUGCAGGGGAGACUGGAAUUCCUGGUGUAGCGGUGGAAUGCGCGGAUAUCAGGAGGAACACCGGUGGCGAAGGCGGGUCUCUGGGCAGUAACUGACGCUGAGGAGCCAAAGCGUGGGGAGCGAACAGG